rnacentral:rRNA from 1 species
UGUGAGCUCGAUGAGUAGGGCGGGACACGUGGUAUCCUGUCUGAAUAUGGGGGGACCAUCCUCCAAGGCUAAAUACUCCUGACUGACCGAUAGUGAACCAGUACCGUGAGGGAAAGGCGAAAAGAACCCCGGCGAGGGGAGUGAAAAAGAACCUGAAACCGUGUACGUACAAGCAGUGGGAGCACGCUUAGGCGUGUGACUGCGUACCUUUUGUAUAAUGGGUCAGCGACUUAUAUUCUGUAGCAAGGUUAACCGAAUAGGGGAGCCGAAGGGAAACCGAGUCUUAACUGGGCGUUAAGUUGCAGGGUAUAGACCCGAAACCCGGUGAUCUAGCCAUGGGCAGGUUGAAGGUUGGGUAACACUAACUGGAGGACCGAACCGACUAAUGUUGAAAAAUUAGCGGAUGACUUGUGGCUGGGGGUGAAAGGCCAAUCAAACCGGGAGAUAGCUGGUUCUCCCCGAAAGCUAUUUAGGUAGCGCCUCGUGAAUUCAUCUCCGGGGGUAGAGCACUGUUUCGGCAAGGGGGUCAUCCCGACUUACCAACCCGAUGCAAACUGCGAAUACCGGAGAAUGUUAUCACGGGAGACACACGGCGGGUGCUAACGUCCGUCGUGAAGAGGGAAACAACCCAGACCGCCAGCUAAGGUCCCAAAGUCAUGGUUAAGUGGGAAACGAUGUGGGAAGGCCCAGACAGCCAGGAUGUUGGCUUAGAAGCAGCCAUCAUUUAAAGAAAGCGUAAUAGCUCACUGGUCGAGUCGGCCUGCGCGGAAGAUGUAACGGGGCUAAACCAUGCACCGAAGCUGCGGCAGCGACGCUUAUGCGUUGUUGGGUAGGGGAGCGUUCUGUAAGCCUGUGAAGGUGUGCUGUGAGGCAUGCUGGAGGUAUCAGAAGUGCGAAUGCUGACAUAAGUAACGAUAAAGCGGGUGAAAAGCCCGCUCGCCGGAAGACCAAGGGUUCCUGUCCAACGUUAAUCGGGGCAGGGUGAGUCGACCCCUAAGGCGAGGCCGAAAGGCGUAGUCGAUGGGAAACAGGUUAAUAUUCCUGUACUUGGUGUUACUGCGAAGGGGGGACGGAGAAGGCUAUGUUGGCCGGGCGACGGUUGUCCCGGUUUAAGCGUGUAGGCUGGUUUUCCAGGCAAAUCCGGAAAAUCAAGGCUGAGGCGUGAUGACGAGGCACUACGGUGCUGAAGCAACAAAUGCCCUGCUUCCAGGAAAAGCCUCUAAGCAUCAGGUAACAUCAAAUCGUACCCCAAACCGACACAGGUGGUCAGGUAGAGAAUACCAAGGCGCUUGAGAGAACUCGGGUGAAGGAACUAGGCAAAAUGGUGCCGUAACUUCGGGAGAAGGCACGCUGAUAUGUAGGUGAAGUCCCUCGCGGAUGGAGCUGAAAUCAGUCGAAGAUACCAGCUGGCUGCAACUGUUUAUUAAAAACACAGCACUGUGCAAACACGAAAGUGGACGUAUACGGUGUGACGCCUGCCCGGUGCCGGAAGGUUAAUUGAUGGGGUCAGCGCAAGCGAAGCUCUUGAUCGAAGCCCCGGUAAACGGCGGCCGUAACUAUAACGGUCCUAAGGUAGCGAAAUUCCUUGUCGGGUAAGUUCCGACCUGCACGAAUGGCGUAAUGAUGGCCAGGCUGUCUCCACCCGAGACUCAGUGAAAUUGAACUCGCUGUGAAGAUGCAGUGUACCCGCGGCAAGACGGAAAGACCCCGUGAACCUUUACUAUAGCUUGACACUGAACAUUGAGCCUUGAUGUGUAGGAUAGGUGGGAGGCUUAGAAGUGUGGACGCCAGUCUGCAUGGAGCCGACCUUGAAAUACCACCCUUUAAUGUUUGAUGUUCUAACGUUGACCCGUGAUCCGGGUUGCGGACAGUGUCUGGUGGGUAGUUUGACUGGGGCGGUCUCCUCCUAAAGAGUAACGGAGGAGCACGAAGGUUGGCUAAUCCUGGUCGGACAUCAGGAGGUUAGUGCAAUGGCAUAAGCCAGCUUGACUGCGAGCGUGACGGCGCGAGCAGGUGCGAAAGCAGGUCAUAGUGAUCCGGUGGUUCUGAAUGGAAGGGCCAUCGCUCAACGGAUAAAAGGUACUCCGGGGAUAACAGGCUGAUACCGCCCAAGAGUUCAUAUCGACGGCGGUGUUUGGCACCUCGAUGUCGGCUCAUCACAUCCUGGGGCUGAAGUAGGUCCCAAGGGUAUGGCUGUUCGCCAUUUAAAGUGGUACGCGAGCUGGGUUUAGAACGUCGUGAGACAGUUCGGUCCCUAUCUGCCGUGGGCGCUGGAGAACUGAGGGGGGCUGCUCCUAGUACGAGAGGACCGGAGUGGACGCAUCACUGGUGUUCGGGUUGUCAUGCCAAUGGCACUGCCCGGUAGCUAAAUGCGGAAGAGAUAAGUGCUGAAAGCAUCUAAGCACGAAACUUGCCCCGAGAUGAGUUCUCCCUGACCCUUUAAGGGUCCUGAAGGAACGUUGAAGACGACGACGUUGAUAGGCCGGGUGUGUAAGCGCAGCGAUGCGUUGAGCUAACCGGUACUAAUGAACCGUGAGGCUUAACCUU